rnacentral:tRNA from 1 species
GCUGUCCUAGCUCAAUCGGUAGAGCAUCGGUAUCGUAAACCGGAGGUUGUGGGUUCGAUUCCCACGGACAGCU